rnacentral:rRNA from 1 species
AUGGUGGCUGAUGAUCUUAAUGAUAUAAUGUUCUCCUUUGAAAAAGAAGGGGGUAAUCCCCGACCAGCUUAGUACAUGGCGGCAUUCAGGGACGCCCUAGAUGAGUGCAAUCUAUCGGACCUAGGCUACUUUGGUGACAAGUUUACCCGCCAUAGAGGAAUGAUAAGAGAGAGGCUCGACCGAGCGGUUUCAAAUGAUGCAUGGAAUUCCAUGUUUCUUGCAGCAAGGGUUGAGCAUAUGGACUACCACAAGUCUGAUCAUCGACCACUCCUGAUCAAUUUGGCAGAGGAAGUGGCUCAUGAACAUACUGGGCCGGCAGUGCUCCGGUUUGAGGCUCGGUGGCUAAAGGAGGCCAAUUUUAGGUAG